AUUUUUCUUUUUUCUUUUGGAAAAAAUUUGAAAAAAUUUUCCUGAUUUUUUUGAUUUUUCAUCUUUUUCACCCUCUUCUCUUUUUUUUUGUUUUUUUUUUGUUUUGUUUUGUUUUUUUUUUUUUUUUGUAUUACAUUACAUUUGUAAUGCCCCAGUUUGACUGCUUUGCUGAUUCUUAUGAUACAGCUGAAUGAGCUUCUUUUGUGCUCAAGAAGGCGGGUAAUCUCGUCAGGAAUCCCCUUCAUCAUCAUCUUCCUCUGCCCCAGAUACAAGGACUUCAAGAUUGGGAGAUGGC
rnacentral:lncRNA from 1 species